CCAGAUAUGGCUCCCCGUGUCUUCCUGAGAAAAAGCCAACCAGUCUGUGGUUAUUAGCUGUCGAAAUUUCCCAAUUCAUGAAGCCAAUUCUUCACUCAAAGGGAAGCACCCAUAAAAUUCUUUUCUCAAAAUUGGUUAAAGGAUGAAAACCCCAAUUCUAUUCUUUUCUUCGGUGAUGCCGGUGCUGUUAUGGUUGUUGUUGGGUUGCCUCCCCGCCGUUCUGUCUUUCUCUUUCCUCUGUAUUUUUUUGCUGUUGUUCGGUGUUGAUGUGUUGGUUCUUUAAGUUCAAUUUUCUCUCUCCUCUGCUUCGGUAUUGUUGUUGUUUCCCGGUUGGUGUUCCGACACCGUCGUUGCUGCUGUAGCUUCGUCGGAAUUCUAUCGAUGUUGUCAUUCUUAGUAAGCUCUGCCAAAUCUGAUUUCUUGGGAAGGUAUAAAUUAACUCUCAUCUCUCCUUCUAUGUUUUUGUUCCAAGAAUUCAUGUUGUGGUGUAAAUUGGUUUAUUUUGAUAACCUUGAAAAAAAAUCAGAUUUUGUUUAAGUAAAAGAUUGAAUCUUUCAUCUUGUAAUACAUUGGGAUGUGUUUUAAAACUUUAUAAUCAUCUCCAAAUUCAGAAUUUUAUUUUGUUGAAGGUAAAAGAUGAUGUUUUUGCCUCUUAAAUUCAAGGUUAGAUCUGGUGUAACCUUAUUUUUCAACAACUGAAAGUAUGAACUUUGGGUAAAUUGUUCUUAAACUUAUUUUGGUUUAAUGACUAAGAUAAGAUAGUUCAAAAAGUUAGUAAUCUAUAAUCUGCAGAUCCAAGUUAAUUACUCUUAUUUGAAAAAUUUAUUUGGAUGAUUCUUCAAGUACUUUUAAAUUAAAACAGAAUCUAGUUAGAUUUCUGAUUAAACUAAUUGUUUUGGAGAGUUAUAAUGUGAGAUUGAUAGUAUAAGUUGGAUUAUUAGAAGGUUGGUAUCAUUUAGAAAAUCAUCUCGUCAUUAGCUCAUAAGGUUUAAGAUUGAUUAUUAUCUAUUUGAAGAAUGGUUGUUGAUUAUGUUAUUGUGUUGGGUGAAUUAUGUUGGAGUUCGAGUUGGAGUUGAAGAUCAAGAUUAUCAUAAAUGUUCAUGGAGAUUGCAUAUGAUUGUUCUUGAGUUGAGACCUACCCCAACCCUUUACAAGAUAAUCCUGCAUAUUCAGUUGUAAAGCAAUAUUUUGUUCAUGAGGAUGAUACAGUGGUACAAAAGCAAUGGAAGAAAUACAAGCUCAGUUUUGUUCUCCUGUCCUCUAGGUUGUAGUUCAUAAGGAUUCACCGAGAGGUAUUCAUUUCAGGCGUGCAGGACCAAGGCAGAAGGUGUACUUUGAUUCUGGUGAAGUUAAUGCGUGCAUUGUAACAUGUGGAGGACUUUGUCCAGGACUUAACACUGUGAUUCGAGAAAUUGUUUGUGCCCUUUACCACAUGUAUGAUAUCGAUAAAGUUAUUGGAAUCGACGGUUAUGAGAUUUGCGUUUGAGUUCCAGAUUUGAAGUUGGUUUCGAUCCAGAUACCAGAUUUGAAGUUCGUUUUGGUUCUAGAUUUUUGUUGUGGAGUUUAAAGUGUACAUGUAAUUAUAUGAGAUUUUUAUUUGAUUUUGUUCUAAGUAUACUAGAAUUUAGUUCUAGAAUUAUUUUUUCACUUGUAUCUACAUUUAUUAUCAAUAAUAAUUGAAUUGAUUAA